GGUCCUUUAUGGGUUAAAGGGUCGGGGUACUUUCGUCGUGUGCGAGGAUUCGAGAAAUUGGAAGUAGAAUUGUCUAUCAUACCCUUGCUGCGGGAAGCGGCGUCCGACGGCGGCAGAAAAUGGUUGUCCCUGCGGCCUACGCUCUCAGUCCAUUUUUUCCGGUUGCAUCAACUAAAAGCCGAGUGUGUGAACUCCAUAGUUCCAUUCCAAUAAACAACCGCAAACAACAUGUUUCAGUAACGUGCUCUGCAAAAUUUCCAGGGAUGGAACACUUUCACGAACCUACUACCAAGCUUAUAGUUUUCUUAAAUUACACCAAGGAUGAAUUAUGGAAAUUCAUCCCUGGUUCAGUUAAAUCUUUUCCUUGGAAGAAAGCAGAGAGUGUUGCUCUGCACGAGUUACUGAUUUUGGGGAAGGAAACAUUAAAGUGGUCUUUUCUUGCGUGGUUUUCGUUUAGUUGGCUAAUCCGAUAUCUUAUACUCUCUCUCUAGAAACAAAGAGCUCAUGAUUCCUUUUGGUCUUUUUGUCGGAAUUAUUAUCACAAAAUACGUUGAUCAGAUAUGUCAAGAAUUCGUGGUUGAUGAUCACAAGGAUGGUUCGAUUAGCUGGCGAAUUCUGGGUAUUUCUUGCUUUCUUGUUCUUGUGAAGGUAAUGUCAAUGUUUUUUUUGGGAGGAAAUGAUUUUCUCUUGCAUUGUGCGAAUGGCGGAUUGAUGCAAGUAUUAUGGAAUUGGAGAAAUUUGCCAAAAUUAGAUGGAGAAAAAUCGGUUGAGAGCUGAUCAUUCGAUUUACUGUUUCUGUUUCGACAAUUUCCAUGGUUGCCGAUUUUGGAACAGAUGUUUUCUAAUUUAAGAACAUUUAGAAGUUGAGACGCUCGUGAAUAUGUGUACGACACAUUACAAAAUGCUAUCAUUACAUAAUGAAACAGAGCACUCCAUUUUAGUUUCUU